UGCAGUCGAACGCUAUCUUUGAUAGAGUGGCGCACGGGUGAGUAACACGUCGGAAUCUGCCCUUUUGUUCGGGACAACAGUUGGAAACGACUGCUAAUACCGGAUACGCCCUUCGGGGGAAAGGUCCGCCGCAGAAGGAGGAGCCCGCGCCCGAUUAGCUUGUUGGUAGGGUAAUGGCCUACCAAGGCGACGAUCGGUAGCUGGUCUGAGAGGAUGAUCAGCCACACUGGGACUGAGACACGGCCCAGACUCCUACGGGAGGCAGCAGUGGGGAAUAUUGGACAAUGGGGGCAACCCUGAUCCAGCAAUGCCGCGUGUGUGAUGAAGGCCUUAGGGUUGUAAAGCACUUUCACUGGUGAAGAUGAUGACGGUAACCAGAGAAGAAGCCCCGGCUAACUUCGUGCCAGCAGCCGCGGUAAUACGAAGGGGGCGAGCGUUGUUCGGAAUUACUGGGCGUAAAGGGAGCGCAGGCGGUUCAUUUAGUUAGGCGUGAAAGCCCCGGGCUCAACCUGGGAACUGCGCUUAAUACUGAUGAACUAGAAAACAGAAGAGGGUAGUGGAAUUCCCAGUGUAGAGGUGAAAUUCGUAGAUAUUGGGAAGAACACCGGUGGCGAAAGCGGCUACCUGGUCUGAUUUUGACGCUGA
rnacentral:rRNA from 1 species